rnacentral:tRNA from 1 species
UGCCAGAUAGCUCAGUUGGUAGAGCACCUGACUAGAGAUUCAGGGGGCCCAGGUUCAUAUCCCAGUUUGGUCC